rnacentral:rRNA from 1 species
CAGUAGCCUCGGGAAUACGAGGGGGGCAAGCGUUGUUCGGAAUUAUUGGGCGUAAAGGGUGCGUAGGCGGUUUGAUAAGUCUUGUGUGAAAUCUAUGGGCUCAACCCAUAGUCUGCAUGGGAAACUGUCGGGCUUGAGAGUGGGAGAGGUGAGUGGAAUUUCCGGUGUAGCGGUGAAAUGCGUAGAUAUCGGAAGGAACACCUGUGGCGAAAGCGGCUCACUGGACCAUUUCUGACGCUGAUGCACGAAAGCUAGGGGAGCAAACAGGAUUAGAUACCCCGGUAGUCCCUGUCUAUUAUAA